rnacentral:lncRNA from 1 species
GAACAUUGAUCACUUUAGAGUACCUGUUAUGUCAUGCUAUGCAAUGUAUGAAAUGUUUUCAAGGACUUUUGGAAUUUAACUUUGCGUAAACUACCAAAAAAGGAAACUUUUUUUUUUUUUUUUUUUUUUUACAAAACAGAGCAAAGUUAAAUCCCUAAGUCCUCGAAAUGGUUAGUACAAUGCCAUGAUGUUAUGAUGUUAAAUAAAUAACAAGCACAAAUAAG